rnacentral:lncRNA from 1 species
AUAGUAAAUGCAGACCAAAAAAAAAAACUUCACUUCAUCCCUAAAUAGUUCAGCAUGUAUUUCAUGAGAUUAAGGACGUUAUCCUAUAUAAUUAUAAUACAAUUCAAUUAUCAAACCUAAGGAUAUUAACAUUUAUUCAAUCAUAUUAUCUAAUAUAUAGUCCAGAUAAAAAUUUUCUAAUUUAGUCAUAGCUGUUCUUUUGGUUGAGAUAUUAGGAGGGAUUUUGUGGAGGGUGGGGGGGAAUG